GGCCCGUAUUUGAUCCAAGCAAUUAUUCAGCAUCUCCAGGAAUACAGCACCUUUUUUCGAGUAGUCCAAGGAAGCAGCCUGGCACAGUUCAAUUCUGGCAGAAUGAUGAGGCACAUAACCAUCCUGGGGUGAAGAUAGCAGUAUUGUAUGUCUGAAGCUCUCUAAUGUCUUGUGCUCACAAAGUCUGUACAAGAAAGUUUUGCGAAGAUCUGGGUCAUCAGUGAAAGUAAGCUGAUGAAUGCAUUGUGAUCCCUUGAGCUUUUUCAAAAGCCACAUUCCAGAGUUAAAUAAAGAGUUCGCACUGUAAAGGUACCCCAUGUGUGGACCAGAUAUAGAUACAUACGUGUAGAGGCAUCUUAGGUAUGGUUCCAUGAUGGUCUCUGCUAAUGCUGUUCUUAUAAUGAUAUUUCCAAUAGAAUGCCCGACAAAGCUAAGCUUGAUACCUCCCAAAUUGCAGGACUUAGAAAAUUUAUCCAUUUUCUUUUUAAGAAAAGAGACCACUUCCUGAGCCAGCCUUAGUCCCAUUUCUCUGAAGUCUCCAGAUGUUUUGUCCUCAUUUACCUCAGACAUGAGAAACUCUAUCUUGGGGUCUAUUAAAAGCCAUUGAUUUCGAACAAGCCGUAAAUCCAGAUGAUGCCCCUGAAAUCCAUGCACAAAGACAACAACCUUCAACUCACGACCAUUCUGCUUCAGGUUGGAACUAGAUAGGAUUCUUCCAGCUUCAACGCUGGGUGUAGAAAGCAAGACAGGUGAAUCUAUCAGGUCUACAUUUCUAAAGUAAGAAUUUUCACUUAGAGCACGCCGGGGUGCAUUCAUGACACGUUCCACAAUUAUGAUAGGAAUUCGAAGAGGAUCUCCAAAAAUAUGCAUGUCUUGAAUUGACUGAUUAUUGAUCUUCAUUUGUGCAAUACUUCGCCGAUGAAGCUCAGCACGUGUGGCCAAAGUUUGGGCAGGAUCAUCAGGUAACUUCCACAAGCUCGAAACUCUUUUUGGGACAGUCGGGUGGGAAAAUUCAUCAUUUCGACUGCUUAUGUAAUGAUGAGGCAUCUCAACCUUUGAGCAAACCAUCCAUAUUGACCAUUCAGCUCUUCGAUCCUUAGCCCAUGUCAUACUCAGAAACCCUAAUAUUUUUGUUUUGUUUAUCCUGUGAAACUGCAGAAAAGUGUUCCAUAAGUACGAUAAUUGAGCACCGAGGGAAUGGAAAAUGUUAACAAC
rnacentral:misc_RNA from 1 species